AUACAUAAGGGUUAAAAAAAGAGGCACAGCUUAUUCUCCUGCCACACAGAUCUAAGCUCGCUGUGUCUGCCUUUGCCCAACCAAGUACCACAGUGAACCAGAGAGAUUCUGAGGAAAGACAAGAAGAAGGGCUUCCUCUGCCUCUACCAGGGAAUGCCUCCCUCCAGACCAGAAUCAGUUAAGUGGCCAUCUGUGGGACUUCCUGUGCCUCAGAGCCAAAUUCAAUUUUUAACUGAUACAACGUCCUUCUGUGAGAAUUGACUCCUCCUCCAGAUGCCAAUGGUCUGAAUGAGACGCGCCAUUCUUCCGAGCAGUUGAAUCAACAAGGCCCAAGAGAAUAUAAAUUCCAGAUUGCUGGAAUUACUGGCUAAGAUCCAGUCACGUUGUGUCCUACGGAACAUCAACAAGAGAUGUAUGCCAGAGGGCCUCUGCCCAGGCGGGAAGAAAUGGCCCCCCUGCAAUUACUCCUCUCCACUCUCCCCCACAUCUCCACGGCCCUGACUCUUCCUCUGUGUUUAACAUCUGGGGUUUUGGUUCCAGAUUUCCAUACAUCCAACCCCUUUCCCACACUCCUUUUAGCAUUAUAAAUAAUCUUUACUGAUA